GGUUCGAUUAUGGCUCAGAUUGAACGCUGGCGGGAUGCUUUACACAUGCAAGUCGAACGGCAGCACGGACUUCGGUCUGGUGGCGAGUGGCGAACGGGUGAGUAAUGUAUCGGAACGUGCCUAGUAGCGGGGAUAACUGGCGAAAGCGUAUUAAUACCGCAUACACCCUUCGGGAAAGCGGGGACCUUCGGGCCUCGCACUAUUAGGAGCGGCCGAUAUCGGAUUAGCUGAAGGGUGGUACGGCUCACCAAGGCGACGAUCCGUAGCUGGUUUGAGAGGACGACCAGCCACACUGACCGAGACACGGCCCAGACUUACGGAGGCAGCAGUGGGGAAUUUCCGACAAUGGGGGAAACCCUGGAUCCAGCCAUCUCGCGUGUGCGAUGAAGGCCUUCGGGUUGUAAAGACCCUUUGGUGAAGAAACGGCACGUGAUAACACCCGUGCAACUGACGGUACCUGCAGAAUAAGCACCGGCUAACUACGUGCCAGCAGCCGCAAUACGUAGGGUGCAAGCGUUAAUCGGAAUUACUGGGCGUAAAAGCGUGCGCAGGCGGUUCGGAAAGAAAGAUGUGAAAUCCCAGAGCUUAAUUGGAACUGCAUUUUUAACUACCGAGCUAGAGUGUGUCAGAGGGAGGUGGAAUUCCGCGUGUAGCAGUGAAAUGCGUAGAUAUGCGGAGGAACACCGAUGGCGAAGGCAGCCUCCUGGGAUAACACUGACGCUCAUGCACGAAAGCGUGGGGAGCAAACAGGAUUAGAUACCUCCUGUAGUCCACGCUCCAAACGAUGUCAACUAGCUGUUGGGGCCUUCGGGCCUUGGUAGCGCAGCUAACGCGUGAAGUUGACCGCCUGGGGAGUACGGUCGCAAGAUUAAAACUCAAAGGAAUUGACGGGGACCCGCACAAGCGGUGGAUGAUGUGGAUUAAUUCGAUGCAACGCGAAAAAACCUACCUACCUUGACAGUUCGGAAUCCCGAAGAGAUUUGGGAGUGCUCGCAAGAGAACCGGAACACAGGUGCUGCAUGGCUGUCAGCUCGUGUCGUGAGAUGUUGGGUUAAGUCCCGCAACGAGCGCAACCCUUGUCAUUAGUUGCUACGAAAGGGCACCGGAAUGAGACUGCCGGUGACAAACUUAGAGGAAGGUGGGGAUGACGUCAAGUCCUCAUGGCCCUUAUGGGUAGGGCUUCACACGUCAUACAAUGGUCGGGACAGAGGGUCGCCAACCCGCGAGGGGGAGCCAAUCCCCAGAAACCCGAUCGUAGUCCGGAUCGCAGUCUGCAACUCGACUGCGUAAGUUUGGAAUCGCUAGCAAUCGCGGAUCAGCAUGUCGCGGUGAAUACGUUCCUGGGUCUUGUACACACCGCCCGUCACACCAUGGGAGUGGGUUUUUACCAGAAGUAGUUAGCCUAACCGUAAGGAGGGCGAUUACCACGGUAGGAUUCAUGACUGGGGUGAAGUCGUAACAAGGUAG
rnacentral:rRNA from 1 species